GAGUCCUGAAGAUCAUCAUGAAGGGGUGUUAACUGAAAGAACAUGGAGGGACAGGCUUGAAUGACUGUUUGGAGGUUAGCACUUCUGAGCUCAUUUGGAUGGAAGUUAACAAACAGAGCGGGAAACAUUUACUGAGCUCCUACCAGAUGGAAGUUGAUUUCAAAUGCUUUGUGAGAUACAAAGAGGAUAAGCUGCUCCCUUUUGAGAAAGAAGCUCAAUCAAAUUGAAAAUGAGAAGAGAAAUAGAAGGAGCCAAUGAAACCAAAGAAGUGGUCAAGAAGCUGAAGGAGACCCCAGGACGAUGUAACACCUCCAGGAGGUGAAGAGUUUCACUCUUUCCUGUGCUCCCGCCUGACGUGCUGACCUGUUACAGACCCAAAACAAUGGAGCCAAUCAAGCGUCUGCUAGAUCAUCCAA